rnacentral:SRP_RNA from 1 species
GCUGGGCGCGGUGGCACAUGCCUGUAGUCCCAGCUACUCGGGAGGCUGACGCUGGAGAAUCUCUUGAGUCCAGGAGUUCUGGACUGUAGUGCGCUAUGCCAAUCUGGUAUCUGCACUAAGUUUGGCAUCAAUAUGAUGACCUCCUGAGAGUGGGGGACCACCAGGCUGCCUAAGGAGGGGUGAACCAGCCCAGGUCGGAAACGGAGCAGGUCAAAACUCCCGUGCUGAUCAGUAGUGGUAUUGCACCUGUGAAUAGCCACUGCACUCCAGCCUGGGCAACAUAGUGAGACCCCGUCUCU